UCGGGAAUUUUGGGCAAUGGGCGAAAGCCUGACCCAGCAACGCCGCGUGAAGGAUGAAGUAUUUCGGUAUGUAAACUUCGAAAGAAUAGGAAGAAUAAAUGACGGUACUAUUUAUAAGGUCCGGCUAACUACGUGCCAGCAGCCGCGGUAAUACGUAGGGACCAAGCGUUGUUCGGAUUUACUGGGCGUAAAGGGCGCGUAGGCGGCCCUCUAAGUCAGACGUGAAAUCCCCCGGCUUAACCUGGGAACUGCGUCUGAUACUGGAGGGCUUGAGUAUGGGAGAGGGAUGUAGAAUUCCAGGUGUAGCGGUGAAAUGCGUAGAUAUCUGGAGGAAUACCGGUGGCGAAGGCGGCAUCCUGGACCAUUACUGACGCUGAGGCGCGAAAGCUAGGGGAGCAAACGGGAUUAGAUACCCUCGUAGUCCCUGAGCGGGCUGGCAAGGCG
rnacentral:rRNA from 1 species